GACGAACGCUGGCGGCGUGCCUAAUACAUGCAAGUAGAACGCUGAAGAGAGGAGCUUGCUCUUCUUGGAAGAGUUGCGAACGGGUGAGUAACGCGUAGGUAACCUGCCUUGUAGCGGGGGAUAACUAUUGGAAACGAUAGCUAAUACCGCAUAACAAUGGGUGACCCAUGUCAUUCAUUUGAAAGGGGCAACUGCUCCACUACAAGAUGGACCUGCGUUGUAUUAGCUAGUAGGUGAGGUAACGGCUCACCUAGGCGACGAUACAUAGCCGACCUGAGAGGGUGAUCGGCCACACUGGGACUGAGACACGGCCCAGACUCCUACGGGAGGCAGCAGUAGGGAAUCUUCGGCAAUGGGGGCAACCCUGACCGAGCAACGCCGCGUGAGUGAAGAAGGUUUUCGGAUCGUAAAGCUCUGUUGUGAGUCAAGAACGAGUGUGAGAGUGGAAAGUUCACACUGUGACGGUAGCUUACCAGAAAGGGACGGCUAACUACGUGCCAGCAGCCGCGGUAAUACGUAGGUCCCGAGCGUUGUCCGGAUUUAUUGGGCGUAAAGCGAGCGCAGGCGGUUUGAUAAGUCUGAAGUUAAAGGCUGUGGCUCAACCAUAGUUCGCUUUGGAAACUGUCAAACUUGAGUGCAGAAGGGGAGAGUGGAAUUCCAUGUGUAGCGGUGAAAUGCGUAGAUAUAUGGAGGAACACCGGUGGCGAAAGCGGCUCUCUGGUCUGUAACUGACGCUGAGGCUCGAAAGCGUGGGGAGCGAACAGG
rnacentral:rRNA from 1 species